UACGUAGGGUGCGAGCGUUAAUCGGAUUUACUGGGCGUAAAGCGUACGUAGGCGGUUAUUCAAGUCAGAGGUGAAAGCCCGGGGCUCAACCUAGGAAUUGCGCUUGUGACUGGCGGGCUCGAGUACGGUAGAGGGGGGUGGAAUUCCUGGUGUAGCAGUGAAAUGCGUAGAGAUCAGGAGGAACACCGAUGGCGAAGGCCGCCCCCUGGGCCUGUACUGACGCUCAUGCACGAAAGCGUGGGGAGCAAACAGG
rnacentral:rRNA from 1 species